rnacentral:lncRNA from 1 species
UAAACAGAUCUAGAAAGCAGAUCUUGCAUGCAGAGAGACGCAGCUCCUUAGGAGGAAUGAGACAGUGCAGAGCCUAGAGCUUUACAUGGAAGAUGUUCUUUGCUCGAAUUCCUCCUUCACAUUUAGGGUUAAGAACAAGGAAUCCACUCUAGGAAGCGAUCCUGGAGGAUAAUACAUGUGUGCUGGAUGACAGAUUCCUCAUCCCUCAAAGCUUUAUCCUUUAUUGAGCCAUCAGAUGGGAAUUCAGGAUUGAUGUAGACAACACUGACCCAGCUCAACUUUAGGCCCUGGCUGGACCAGUGGGAACAAUUAGCCUUCACUAACUUCAAGAGGUAACACUUGGGUGAGGUGAGACUCAUUUUAGCACUCAUGGGGAAUCCUCCUAGUAUAGUCUUCCCUGACUGUGAAAUAGGGACCUGUACAUUUGUACAACUUCUGUUAGCGAUUUGGGGGAGAAUUAUCUCAGUAGAGUAAGAUUAUCUAUGGUCCCUGGUCUUUAUGCAUUUACUCUAUUUUAUUUUAAUAUUCUGUUUAUAGGUCUGUUUUCUGUGUUACUGUGUGCAUGUAUUAAUAAGAACAGUUCUCUAAUAAUCUGGAACAUACUUCCUCCAAUGCAAACUUUGAAAUCCUGAAUUAUUAAUAAAAGUGAGUAAGGAGGCUGAGAUGGUUAG